rnacentral:rRNA from 1 species
UACGUAGGGGGCUAGCGUUGUCCGGAAUCAUUGGGCGUAAAGCGCGUGUAGGCGGUUCGGUAAGUCCGCUGUGAAAGUCGGGGGCUCAACCCUGGGAUGCCGGUCGAUACUGCCGGACUAGAGUUCGGAAGAGGCGAGUGGAAUUCCCGGUGUAGCGGUGAAAUGCGCAGAUAUCGGGAGGAACACCUAUGGCGAAGGCAGCUCGCUGGGACGUUACUGACGCUGAGACGCGAAAGCGUGGGGAGCAAACAGG